GGCUUAGAAGCAGCCAUCCUUGAAAGAGUGCGUAAUAGCUCACUGGUCAAGUGGUUCUGCGCCGACAAUGUAGCGGGGCUCAAGCGCACCGCCGAAGCCGUGGCAGCAGCGCGUUGUCGCCCUCCUCCCCCCUGUUGGAUGGGGUGGUGGGUGCGCUGCUGGGUAGGGGAGCGUCCUGCGCGGGGCGAAGCCCGGGGGUGACCCCUGGUGGACCGCGUGGGAGUGAGAAUGCAGGCAUGAGUAACGAAUUCUGCGGUGGGAAUCCGCAGCGCCGAUUGACUAAGGGUUCCAGGGCCAGGUUCAUCCGCCCUGGGUUAGUCGGGUCCUAAGGCGAGGCCGACAGGCGUAGUCGAUGGUCGACCAGUUGAUAUUCUGGUACCGCGCGGCGACCGCCAGUGCCGAUACCGCUGUGCUAACCGCCCGCACCGCCCCCUCCUGCGCUUUCGGGCGCGGGGGCGGGGGGUGUCGCGGGGCCCCGGUGGUGGAGGCAAGCGUGUUGACAGGGGUGACGCAGGAAGGUAGCCGCAAUGCGCCGGUGGUUGUGCGUAUUCAAGGCUGUGGCCCGUCCCCCAGGCAAAUCCGGGGGGCAUGUGGGUGAGGGCUGAGGAGGGACACACGCGUGUGUGGACUUGUGGUGAUCCUAUGCUGCCGAGAAAAACCCCGACGUGAGGGCGCCGCGCGCCCGUACCCCAAACCGACUCAGGUGGUCAGGUAGAGCAUACCGAGGCGUUCGAGUGAAUCAUGGUUAAGGAACUCGGCAAAAUUCCUCCGUAACUUCGGGAUAAGGAGGACCCCUUGGCCUCCUCCCGCCGCGCGCGGGGGCGGGGCCGGGGGGUCGCAGAGAAUAGGGAGAAGCGACUGUUUAUCAAAAACACAGGUGCGUGCGAAGCCGCAAGGCGAUGUAUACGCACUGACGCCUGCCCGGUGCUGGAAGGUCAAGAGGAGCCCUCAGCCCCCUGCGGGGGGCGAAGGGGCGAAUUCAAGCCCCAGUAAACGGCGGUGGUAACUAUAACCAUCCUAAGGUAGCGAAAUUCCUUGUCGGGUAAGUUCCGACCUGCACGAAUGGCGUAACGACUUCUCCGCUGUCUCAACCGUGAACUCGGUGAAAUUGCAGUACGAGUAAAGAUGCUCGUUUCGCGCAGAAGGACGGAAAGACCCCGGGACCUUUACUAUAGCUUGGUAUUGGUGUCCGCUUGUGCUUGUGUAGGAUAGGUGGGAGACUGUGAAGCGGCCGCGCCAGCGGUGGUGGAGUCGUCGUUGAAAUACCAUUCUGGUUCAAGCGGGCGCCUGAACCUGGGCCCGUGAUCCGGGCCGGGGACAGUGCCUGGUGGGUAGUUUAACUGGGGCGGUUGCCUCCUAAAAGGUAACGGAGGCGCUCAAAGGUCCCCUCAGCCUGGUUGGCAAUCAGGUGGCGAGUGCAAGUGCACAAGGGGGCUUGACUGUGAGACCGACGGGUCGAGCAGGUGCGAAAGCAGGAACUAGUGAUCCGGCCAUGGCACGUGGGUGCGUGGUCGCUCAACGGAUAAAAGGUACCCCGGGGAUAACAGGCUGAUCUUGCCCAAGAGUCCAUAUCGACGGCAUGGUUUGGCA
rnacentral:rRNA from 1 species